CCAAAUGAACAAUUGUAAUAUAAAGUUCCCUCUUUGUUCUAUCCAUCAAAUGGAAUAGCCAGCUAAUUCGACAUCGUUGCUCUGGAGACUGGUUGCACUGGUUGACCUCCAUCCGGGCGUCUGCUCCUCAGAAGUAGCGGUCCACCCUUUCCGGUCUCAGGAGUUCAAGGUCAAGACUCGACACCACGGCGGCUACUCGGCAAGUACAAUGGGCAAGCCCUGACCACCGCAAUAACUGUCAGCCGACGGUCCUGGAGUCUGGGUCAUGUGCUCUCAUUCCAACGCAACACGGCUCACUGCCAGCGACCCCCAGGCCCAGCAAUUAGUCCUCUCACCACUCCUCUCCACACAGAAAUUACUGCCCCCAUUAGCCAGCACUGGCACCAAUAAACCUCCCGUCUGCCUGAUUACAAUACAGUAUGGCACUGAAGCUCAGGGCACCCUGGUAAAUCUGUGACUGUGCCACAGUGCUGCACACUUCCAGCACGCAAGGUUAUGAUGGGGAUACUCUGCAAACAAAUGUACAACUGAAAGACGGCAGAUGUGCCACAGAUUAGGUACAUUAAUCCUGGUGCUGUUAGAGCAGGUGAGUCUUUAGGACGUGUCACUGUUCAAGAUGCUGUAUGAGGGGUAGAACUUAGUGAAGAUGAGUGGCUCUGCUGUCCUGACUGGAUCUCAUCUCACCAAUGUCGGGCCAGAGCUGAAUGGGUGUAGCCUCUUGCUUUAGCUGUAGCAGGACAGGCAGGCAAAUAUAAGCAUUCAUGACUGAUCCGGAUCUGGACGUUGUGACACAGUGCAAAACAAGGCUGGGUUGUGUGGAUGAGCGCAAUGAGUAGAAAUGUAUGUUAAUGUUGUGUAGUGUCUUGUUUGUUCACAUUUAGAGUACUGUGUUCAGAGCAGCACAGCAACAAGGGUGUAGCUGCAGUCAGAAAAUACAGGAAAGUGCAAAAAGUCCCUCUGAAAAAGAAAAAAACAAAAAAAAAAAUCUGAGAUGACCUUUACUCCCCUGAUUACUCAAUUGUUUUAAAUGUCAAAAAAUGUGUUUUGUAUGUAAUGUCAGAAAUAAUUAUUCAGUUAAAAUGAGGGAAUAGUGACGAUACUAAGAGAGAUUGAGAGAGAGAGGUUGACACUGUGUGUGUGUGUGUGUGUGUUUGUGAGAGAAGAGUUACUGGAGUUCCGCGCUAUAUAAGAGCUAUAGCCAUUGUUUAUGAAUUGUCUUUUCAUAUAGAGUACUCUAAUUUCAGUAUUAAAUACCGUUUUUGUCAUGCCUAAGGCCAGCCUAUAACCAGCAGGCAGCAUACGUGCUUCACCUGACAGAGAUGUUUGAGAGAGAGAGAGAGAUAAAUAGCCCAAAGGUCAUGAUGAGAGGCCAGAAAGCACACCCCAGUGGAGGUGCAGAUAGUCUCGCACAUGGGUGACAGAGUCCUGCUUCACAUGGCCAGAGCGAUCUUUUUUAUUACCCUGAUGUGCCUUUGUGUUUUUAUCAGACCCCAGCCGUAACCACAGCCUAGGUUUUCGGAGAUAUCACUGAGAUAGUAAUGGAUUGUUAAAAUUACUCUUAAUGCCAGAGAAGCAGUUUUUUUUUCUUAUUGCAAAGGUCUAUUAUUUUUAUAAGGUUCCAUUUUUAUAUGGGCUAACCAUAGCCCAUUCUCACUGGGAAAAUCGCACAUUAUGAAUGAAUGUUUAAAAGUUGCGUAAAUUUGGCCUAAUGGUGAUGGAAACAGUAGUCACACGUAGAUUUUUAUUCAGCUCUCAUUCGCUGCUCAGAGAUUCAAGUGCUCCAGGCGACAGCAUCCGGCAGACCGACAGGGUUAAAGACGAGUGACAAAUUCUCCCUCCUCUGACAACGUCUUACCCACACAAUUCUAAUUGUUUAAGAGCUUUCUUAACCAAAGCCCUUAAUAAGGGCUGGGGUUAUUAAGAGCACUUUUCAUUCUGUACAAUUUGCUAAUCUCAAAGACCAGCUGGCUUUCCCCAUGUUUAUCCUGGAGACGGAUGGGAAUGGACUGUCACACCUGCAGCGGCAUUUACCCGCACCCGCUGUCUCUGUCACAGGCAGCACACCAUCACAAACACACACGUAGGCACACAUCUCACUCUUUUACUCCCUCCCUCCCCCCUCUCUCUCUCCCUCCCUACCUUUCUCCCCCCCUCUUUCUCUCUGUCGCUUUAUUAUCAUUAUUAUUAUUUUUUUUUUUUUUCUUUAUAAUAAUGUAUUGAAUUGAUAACGAAGUUCUAAUAAAGGGGCAUCAAAGUCUCUCUCUCUCUC